UUCCCCCGGUUCGCCUCAUUAACCUAUGGAUUCAGUUAAUGAUAGUGUGACGAAUCACACUGGGUUUCCCCAUUCGGAAAUCGCCGGUUAUAACGGUUCAUAUCACCUUAC
rnacentral:rRNA from 1 species